rnacentral:tRNA from 1 species
UAGAAUAAAGCUCGCUGGAUAGAGUGUUUAGCUGUUAACUAAAAUAUUAUGGGAUCGAGGCCCAUUGUUCUAG